rnacentral:rRNA from 1 species
UGUCCCUACGGGAGGCAGCAGUGAGGAAUAUUGGUCAAUGGGCGAGAGCCUGAACCAGCCAAGUCGCGUGAGGGAGUACUGCCCUAUGGGUUGUAAACCUCUUUUGUCGGGGAGCAAAAAGGCCUCGUGAGGCCACAAGUGAGAGUACCCGAAGAAAAAGCAUCGGCUAACUCCGUGCCAGCAGCCGCGGUAAUACGGAGGAUGCGAGCGUUAUCCGGAUUUAUUGGGUUUAAAGGGUGCGUAGGCGGACUGGAAAGUCAGCGGUAAAAUCGAGAGGCUCAACCUCUUUCCGCCGUUGAAACUGU